rnacentral:rRNA from 1 species
UACGAAGGUCCCAAGCGUUAUCCGGAUUUAUUGGGUUUAAAGGGUGCGUAGGCGGAUUAUUAAGUCAGUGGUGAAAGCUCCAUGCCUAACAUGGAAAUUGCCAUUGAUACUGAUAGUCUUGAGUACAUUUGAAGUGGGCGGAAUGUGUCAUGUAGCGGUGAAAUGCUUAGAUAUGACACAGAACACCGAUUGCGUAGGCAGCUCGCCAAACUGUAACUGACGCUGAGGCACGAAAGCGCGGGGAGCAAACAGG